GACGAACGCUGGCGGCGUGCCUAAUACAUGCAAGUAGGACGCAGUUGCGAACGGGUGAGUAACGCGUAGGAACCUACCUAUUAGAGGGGGAUAACUAUUGGAAACGAUAGCUAAUACCGCGAACUAGUAGAUGUACCUUCGUUGUAUUAGCUAGUAGGUAGGGUAAUGGCCUACCUAGGCAACGAUACAUAGCCGACCUGAGAGGGGGAUCAGGCACACUGGAACUGAGAAACGGUCCAGACUCCUACGGGAGGCAGCAGUGGGGAAUAUUGGACAAUGGGCGAAAGCCUGAUCCAGCCAUGCCGCGUGUGUGAAGAAGGUCUUCGGAUUGUAAAGCACUUUAAGUUGGGAGGCGUUACCAACAGAAUAAGCACCGGCUAACUCCGUGCCAGCAGCCGCGGUAAUAC
rnacentral:rRNA from 1 species